CCACCACGCCCGGCCUCAUCCUUUGUUUUAUACAUCUCAGCAUUGUUCUUAGAUUAACAGUUUCUCCUCUUUUCCAUUCAUCUCUUACAUACCUAAGUAUUCUACCCUGAUUUCUAAGGAUAGCUCAAUACUUUCUUUUUAAAUAUUUCAUAUUUGUAUAACACUUUACCUUUUCAAAGCACUUGCACCAACUAUCUCAUUUAGCCCUCAACUUUCCUCUGAAGCACGUGCCAUAAAUGAUAUACCAUUUAACAAGAGAGGAACUGAGCAGAAAACAUAAAACAAUUUGGCUAGGAUCCCAAGAGCAAUAAGUGGUGGCAGCAUAAGCUGGGCCCAGGUCAUGAUCCUGUGUUGUAGUCUGUGCCCUGACUCUACCUGUGACCAGCUUGUGGAUCCUGCUUUGUAUUUCCACAGUUCCAUUCUGUAUUAUAUAUUCUUGGUCCUGCUUUGCCCUACUAUUAAGUUAUUUAAGAUUUCUUGUCUCAUUAGAUAUCAACCUCCCUAAUCUUAUGUAAAGUGAUAGGUAGUUUAGUAGGACUUACUAUUUCCUAAUUAGUGUGGUUUUUGUUUCUACUAGGACAUAAGAUUGUGAUCACCCUUGUGAUGAAUUCAGUAACAGUUCCACCAGAGGUAAUCCCUUAGCAGGGAACUUACACUAGACCUGUUUACCAAACAAAAGGCCCUGAUAUAAUAAAAUACUAACAUGCAAAGCCCUUGGCAAUCUCCCUUCUGCCUCAUCUUAAUCUCACUUAGCUGCCAACCAUUGUUUCAGCCACCAUUUCUAACCAAUCCCCAUAAAACCUAGCUUUAAAUAUCAUGUUAUUAGAGUGUGUAUCCACUGUCCCUGAUUGUUGCAAUUUUCCACUAAUCAGUUCAUUCCCCUUUCUUUCUUUUUGUCUUUUGAGACAGGGUCUCGCUCUGUCGCCUGGGCUGGAGUAUAGUGGCAUGAUCACAGCUUACUGCAGUCUCAACCUCCCAGGCUCAAUCAAGAUCCUCCCAUCUCAGCUUCCCAAAUAGCUGGAACUACAGGCGCAUGCCACCACACACGGCUAUUUUUUUGUAGAGACAGGGUAGCCACAUUGCCCAAGCUGGUCUCAAACUCCUAGGCUGAAAGAAUCCCCCACCUUGGCCUCCCAAAGUGCUGGGAUUACAAGCGUGAGCCACCGCAGCUGGUCCCCUUUAUUUCUUGCCAAUUUUGUGUCCUGGCUCACUGUCACUUUAUAACACUACUUCUAUCUUAAUUCUUGACAAUUGCAAUUUCAACAUACACAUGGGUCAGUAGUUUCCAAAGUACAGUCCCUGGACCACAGCAGCAUCAGCAUCACCAGGGAAUUUAGAAAUGAAAAUUACCAGGCUCUACCCCAGAAACUAGGAGUGAGAUCUUGCAAUCUGUAUUUUUUUUGUUGUGUUGUUUUGCAUUUUUUUAGAGAUGGUCUCACUGUGUUACCUGGACUGGUCUCAAACCCCUGAGCUCAAGCAAUCUUCUUCCCUCAGCCUCCCAAGUAGCUAGGACUACAGGCAUACGUCAUUGCACCUAGCACAAUCUGUGUUUUAAUUAUCUUUCCAUAUAUAAGUCUAAUGCAUGCUAAAGUUUGAGAACUAUUAACAUAAAUGAUCCUUCAACCAACCUGGCCUUUUGAUUCCCUAAAAACUUAACAGUUAAUACCUUUCACCUUCCUUAAAUACUGAUUCCCAUCUUUUUACCAAAAACAUCAACCAUCUUAGUUUCAAUUUCAUGCAUCCCUCUCUCUGACCACCUAUGACCUUCCUAGCCCAUUCUGUCAAAUAACUACACAAAUUCAGAGUUUUCAUGACCAUCAAUAAAUUGAUCCUACCAUCUCCCUCACCCCCUUGAUUUCAGCUUUUCUCUCCUGUUACAACUUAGGUUCCAUGAUCAAUCAUAAGCAUUCUCUUGAAUACACCUUCAACUUCCUUGCCUCUCACUCACUUCGUUGUACUCACUUACCAAAACCACCUCCUUGGCUUAAUUCAGCUGUCUACCUGCUCUGCACCUAUGCAGCCAAAUGAAGUUGGAGAAAACAAAGUAACUAGUCUGGCCAGGUGCAGUGGCUCACGCCUGUAAUCCCAACACUUUGGGUGGAUCCCUUGAGGCCAGGAGUUUGAGACCAGCCUGGCCAACAUGGUGAAACCCGCUCUCUACUAAAAAUACAAAAUUUAGCUGAGCAUGGUGGCACGCACCUGUAGUCCCAGCUACUUGGGAGGCUGAGGCAUAAGAAUCGCUUGAACCUGGGAGGCAGAGGUUGCAAUUAGCCGAGAUUGCACCACUACACUCCUUCCUGUUUUGGCGACACAGCGAGACUCUGUCUCAAAAAAAAAAAAAAAAAAAGUAGUCUCACUUUAUAUUCAUGAUGGUCAGAACCUUAAGAGAGCACUUAAUACUACCAGCCAAUCAUAUUAUGUUUCUUCAGACCGCAAUUACAUCCUUCAACAGACGACCUUACUUCCUACUUGACUGAGAAAAUUUAAGCAAUUGGAGAACUUCCAGUUACUCCCACAACAUCAUUAUCUCAUCUUACCAUAUCUCCACCUAUAUAUAUACACCACCUUGCCUGUACUAUAUGGUUCGUAUCACAUGCUGCAAGCACACAGAAGUCACUCAAUGCAAAUGUGAUGAAUAAAGUGAAUGUAUCCAUUAAUUAAUCUAUAUAAAUGUUUUCCCCUCUGCCUUCAUUCCUGGCACUUUCUACCUAGCACAUCCACUUUCAAAACCACUUCAUCACCUUUUCAGAGAAGUUUUUUUCUGAUUUUCCCGAAUUGCUUCCCUUUACCCUCCUGUCGAUGCUUCUUGUAGCACACAUCAUUGCACUCUAAUGCUAUAUUUACAUUUAUUUCCUUACUAAACUGUAAGCUUCUUAAGGGAGAUACUGUAUCUAAUACACUGUUGUAAUACUAUCCCAUCAUGUAAUCUGGCUUCUGUGUUUUUGGGUUUGUUGAAAACAGUGAAACAGCAGACUCAUCCUACUGUGUUUGGUACUGGGUUGAUAAACAGCAGAGUUUAGUGGCAAUUUGCCACAGAGGGAGAUGCAGGCCUGGAGGACUUACUUCCUGAAGGCCUGCAGGCUGAGACUGCUACAGAGCUGAUGCCAGCUGAGUCACUCUUGCAUCUCAACCUCCAACUCUGAAACAGAGAUGUGGAUCUCUGAUUAGCCUUCUCUACUGUGCUAGCUAAUGCAAAGCUACCUUUGCAUAUGUAAGGUCUAGCAGGGGAGAACCAGGAGGUAGGCAGCAGAAGAUCCUUUAUAAAAGACCAAGCCUGAAAUCUGAAAAUCCCUGAAAUUCCUUAGAAAUUGAUCAUCUUAACUCUUUCUUUGCCAAGCCCGCAUUUCCUGAUUUAUAUCCUUGUUACAGCUGAAAGAAGCUCAUCAUGUAAAGGUUUAUAGCACCACCAUUUUCCUCAGAGGAUUUUACAUAUGCAACCUAUGGAUGGAUUUUUAUAAGAACUAUACCUUGGACUUCUUGCAUGAAGUUAGGAAGGUUAUCUUCAGAGGCUCCAAGUUUUAAUGCAUUCCAGUGUUGUCAAAUCCAAAAGCAAUUAAAUACUGUUGUGUGGUUUUGAAUUAUAGCCUGCUUGUUAAAAUAGCUACUGUUUCCCCUAAGGACAGCCUGCAUUUUUACCUGAUGUCAUCUGACUCUGGGUCUCAAGAGAGUGGGGAACCUAAUAGAACAACUGAAUAAAUGUAGUUCUAAGACAGUGAAUUAUAAGGUGAUGGUGGAAGAGUGGUUACCAAUUUUAGUGACCUCCAGGUAGAACAAUGGAAAGGAAGUCAUGUAAGCCCCAGAUUGGGGAAAAAAUGAAAGUAAUAAUGACCAAGUAAACAUUAAGUCAGGGGUGAUGUGGAAGACAGUGUGGCGAUUCCUCAAAGACCUAGAACCAGAAAUACCAUUGGAACCAGCAGUCCUAGUACUGGGUAUAUACCCAAAGGAAUAUAAAUCAUUCUAUUCUAUUCUAUUCUAUAGAAUAUGAAUCAUUCUAACAUAAAUCAUUCUGUUAUAUCAUUAUAAAUUAUAUAAAUCAUUCUAUUAUACAAUGAUGUGUGCUACAAGAAGCAUCAACAGGAGGGUAAAGGGAAGCAGUUUGGGAAAAUCAGAAAAAAACUUCUCCAAAAAGGUGAUUAAGUUGUUUUGAAAGUGGAUGUACUAGGUACAUAUAAAGAUACAUACAUAUUGCAGCACUAUUCACAAUAGCAAAGACAUGGAAUCAACCCAAAUGCCCAUCAGUGAUAGACUGGAUAAAGAAAAUGUGGUACAUAUACACCAUGGAAUACUAUGCAGCCAUAAAAAAGAAUGAGAUCAUGUCCUUUGCAGGGUUGGGGAUGGAGCUGGAAGCCAUUAUCCUCAGCAAACUAACACAGGAACAGAAAAUCAAACACCACAUGUUCUCACUUACAAGUGAGGGUGAACAAUGUCAACACAUGGACACAAGGAGGGGAACAACACCCAAUGGAGCCUGUCAAGGGGAGGGCAGAGGGAGGGAGAACAUCAGGAAAUACAACUAAUGCAUGCUGGGCUUAUUACCUAGGUGAUGGGUUGAUAGGUGCAGCAAACCACCAUGGCACACGUUCACCUAUGUAACAAACCUGCACAUCCUGCACAUGUACCCUGGAACGUAAAAUGAAAUUUUAAAAAGUCAGGGGUGAUAUUUUGCUCAUUAUAGCUUUACCUUAAACCCCUGUAUAGUUUCAUCUGCCUUUAGAAUAUGCUGGCAGAAAUAUACUUUAUUAUCUGAUACCCAAGUUACUACUGCAACAGGGAAACUAAUUUCUACCUCACCCUAGGCUCCAAAUUUCACCCCCACUGCACUGAGGGUAAACACUGAAGCCAAAUGGGCCUUGAUUUGGGACCUUUGUGUUCCUUUGCUCUCCCAUCACCAUCUGACCCCACCGCACGCCUCAUAUCCACCCAUCCCAGAAGGAAGCUGCCUCUAAGGACUAAGUAGUAAAUCUCUC
rnacentral:lncRNA from 10 species